AGCAAUUUUGCUCAGUCGGUAGAGCAUGAGACUCUUAAUCUCAGGGUNGUGGGUUCGAGCCCCACAUUGGGUG
rnacentral:tRNA from 1 species